CGCCUCCAGCUUUGCUGCACUCUAUAAGUAAACAUUCCUGAAGUUGCUUGCGAACCCUUCCAGCUCAGUUCAAGGAUACCAGCAAUAUCCACUGUCCACUUUCUUUGUCUGCAGGCUUGGAGCUUCAGAAAUGGCUGAGAGUGAAAACAAAACGAUUUCAUUACUUCAACAAGCUAGGAGUUAUGAAGAAUUUGAAGAAUUAUAAUUCAUGAUGCCUG